AGAGUUUGAUCCUGGCUCAGGAUGAACGCUGGCGGCGUGCUUAACACAUGCAAGUCGAACGAAGCAGCAUGGAACGAAUCUUCGGAGGAGGGAAAUGGUGACUGAGUGGCGGACGGGUGAGUAACGCGUGGGUAACCUGCCUCGUACAGGGGGACAACAGUUGGAAACGACUGCUAAUACCGCAUAAGCGCACGAUACUGCAUGGUAUUGUGUGAAAAACUGAGGUGGUACGAGAUGGACCCGCGUCUGAUUAGCUGGUUGGUGGGGUAACGGCCUACCAAGGCGACGAUCAGUAGCCGACCUGAGAGGGUGACCGGCCACAUUGGGACUGAGACACGGCCCAAACUCCUACGGGAGGCAGCAGUGGGGAAUAUUGCACAAUGGGGGAAACCCUGAUGCAGCGACGCCGCGUGAAGGAAGAAGUAUUUCGGUAUGUAAACUUCUAUCAGCAGGGAAGAAAAUGACGGUACCUGAGUAAGAAGCCCCGGCUAACUACGUG
rnacentral:rRNA from 1 species